rnacentral:rRNA from 1 species
AUUGAACGCUGGCGGCAGGCCUAACACAUGCAAGUCGAGCGAGCGACGGGCGGGUGAGUAAUGUAUGGGGACUGCCCGAUAGAGGGGGAUAACUACUGGAAACGGUAGCUAAUACCGCAUACUAUCGGAUAACCCAUAUGGGAUUAGCUCGUUGGUGAGGUAAUGGCCCACCAAGGCGACGAUCCCUAGCUGGUCUGAGAGGAUGAGCAGACACACUGGGACGUAGACACGGCCCAGACUCCGACGGAGGCAGCAGUGGGGAAUAUUGCACAAUGGGCGCAAGCCUGAUGCAGCCAUGCCGCGUGUAUGAAGAAGGCCCUAGGGUUGUAAAGUACUUUAAGUCGGGAGGCGUUACCGACAGAAGAAGCACCGGCUAACUCCGUGCCAGCAGCCGCGGUAAUUC